rnacentral:rRNA from 1 species
UACGGGGGGGGCAAGCGUUGUUCGGAAUUACUGGGCGUAAAGGGCUCGUAGGCGGCCAACUAAGUCGGAUGUGAAAUCCCCAGGCUUAACCUGGGAAUUGCAUCCGAUACUGGAUGGCUUGAAUCCGGGAGAGGGAUGCGGAAUUCCAGGUGUAGCGGUGAAAUGCGUAGAUAUCUGGAGGAACACCGGUGGCGAAGGCAGAUCUCUGGGCCGUAACUGACGCUGAGGAGCGAAAGCGUGGGGAGCGAACAGG